rfam:Gossypium arboreum cultivar AKA8401 contig_47132_1, whole genome shotgun sequence.
AAACCAUGGUAAGGACACUUAUGAACAUGAGUUUGAAGCACUCCCACACUUCAUAUAAUGACUCUCUCUUGAGAUACCGAAAGUUGGUAAUGUCUAUUCUGAGCUU